rnacentral:rRNA from 1 species
AAUCCUGGUGGCGAGUGGCGAACGGGUGAGUAAUAUAUCGGAACGUGCCCAGUCGUGGGGGAUAACGCAGCGAAAGCUGUGCUAAUACCGCAUACGAUCUCUGGAUGAAAGCGGGGGACUCAGCAAUGAGCCUCGCGCGAUUGGAGCGGCCGAUAUCAGAUUAGCUAGUUGGUGGGGUAAAAGCUCACCAAGGCGACGAUCUGUAGCUGGUCUGAGAGGACGACCAACCACGCUGGAACUGAGACACGGUCCAGUCUCCUACGGGAGGCAGCAGUGGGGAAUUUUGGACAAUGGGCGCAAGCCUGAUCCAGCAAUGCCGCGUGCAGGAUGAAGGCCUUCGGGUUGUAAACUGCUUUUGUACGGAACGAAACGGUCUUCUCUAAUAAAGGAGGCUAAUGACGGUACCGUAAGAAUAAGCACCGGCUAACUACGUGCCAGCAGCCGCGGUAAUACGUAGGGUGCGAGCGUUAAUCGGAAUUACUGGGCGUAAAGCGUGCGCAGGCGGUGAUGUAAGACAGAUGUGAAAUCCCCGGGCUCAACCUGGGACCUGCAUCUGUGACUGCAUCGCUAGAGUACGGUAGAGGGGGAUGGAAUUCCGCGUGUAGCAGUGAAAUGCGUAGAUAUGCGGAGGAACACCGAUGGCGAAGGCAAUCCCCUGGACCUGUACUGACGCUCAUGCACGAAAGCGUGGGGAGCAAAC